AUUAUUUUAUUUCAACAAAGAUCGAUUACGGUCGGAACGGAAACUUUAAUGAGGCACAAAACGUAAACUUAUCGUCGAAAUCUUUCUCGCUGGGGAAGGAGAGAAAUCAAACACGUUGAAAAGCGUUUAAAAAAUGUAAAACACUUUUGAUAAAAGUUCUUAAGGAUCUGCUGCCAUCCCUCCCUUAUCCCGCGGUCCGCCGAAAUAAAUUUCGUUGUACUACACAAAUAUUUCACGUGGCGCCCCACCAUUUAAAGUUAGUUCGAGAAACUGCUUAGCAUCUACUUAUUCACUAGAUUUUUCAACAUGAACAUCGGAGCUACGAGUUAUCCAGCCGGUCCGCGCUUCCAGACAGACGUAUAGAUCGCGGCCCAUAAAUAACGAGGAAGGGAAAGGCCCUCGUCUUUAAUACGAUCCCCGUUUCCCAAACUCAUAACCGUUGAUCUUCCGCUGGAAAUUCACGAGGAAACGCGACAAAAGUUCACCGUGCACGAUGCACACGAUGUAACAUUCAACAAACCGGUAGACAAUGUUCCAAACUAUACAACAUACAUUUUGACAAGUUCCAGUUUCGCUUCGCAAGCAGCCGGAAAUUGAACACCGGCUGUGUUUCCUGUAUCCACGGCGGCGAGCCAGAUUCCGCGAUGGUAGUUUUACCGCGCUUUCAAGACAAACCCUGAGACGACGAAACGGAUUUACACGGUUGAUUGAAGAGGAGGUUACACAGUAUCGACGUCAGCGACAAUGCUAGGCCGAAAGUUCUAGCGGGCGAUGUCGGCAAAUUGGUGAAAGGGUUGGCUUCAAACUGAAAUUGAGAGGGGUUGGACGUCGCCGGUACCCAACAUCAGAAGGGCAGAGGCGGGAUACGACGCUUCUGGGCUGUCGUGAACCCUGGCUGGAGCCACCGGUGUACUUGGCAGAGAGUGCUUUUCAUCUCCGUAAAUGGACCGGCGGAGAAGAAAUCCAGCGAACGAAACGAAGUGCCUGGGGGGGAAGAGGAGAGUUGACGAAUUUAUCGAUUCGCAUACAGAGCAAAAAUUGUGCUGCACGCGUGCACACGAGAGAUUUGAAACACGUUUGUUGGAAAUUGGAAUAUGCCUCGUGCGUAUUUAAUGAAAAUAUGAUAUUUUAAAUCGAAUUUUUCUUUUUUUCUUUUUUUUUUUCCCCCCGUCGUAACAUGUUUUGAAACAUUUAGUGCUAAAAGCAAUGCGGCGAAAUGUAAUUAAUCCUCUCGUGCGCAACAUUUCCCGAUUUUUCGUCUAUAAUAACAUUGUUUUUUUUCUCUUUUCUUUUUUUUUUUUAUUUCAGUUUAUUCGAUUAUCGAAACUAUAAGAUCAAAAGCAUCGUUCGUUUUACAAUAUAUUUUAAUAUUUGAUUAUUGUUGUUGUUCACGCGGGACGAGAAACCAAUGAGACGUGUAUAAAAACAAAAGAUUUUUUUUUAUCGAGUCACGGCAAUCA